rnacentral:lncRNA from 1 species
UUUUAUUGAUUAAAAACAAGUCGAGUCAUAUAAAACCUGAAUAAUAAAGUAUCACUAAUGGCCAGUGGCCUUAUUACAUUAGGAAAGUAGUAAAAGAUCCUAACUACUUGGUCAAGAAGGACCUUCCCCAGAUUCGGUAUUCUUACCUCCCUAGUAUAGUUGCAUCAACUCUCGUAGUCCUAGCAGCAGAUAGGCUCGAGCCAGAUGUCCACCUGCACUUCCUUUGGGAUUCUGGCAAUCUUCAAUUCUCUUCAACAACAUUUCUUCCAACUCCACUAGACCUCGUUCUAGAUACCCUAGCCGAUUGUUGGCAUUUAAAACGAUAUCUUUCCACUCGUCGAUCAGCUUCUGGUGAGCUUCUUGUAUUUCCCGAUGCUCAUUUUCACACACUCGAAUCCUUUUGCGCUGUUGAUUGUAUUUAGCUUGCGCUUCAGCUUUCUCAUCAAUAAUCCUAUGACCUCGGAUGAACCCAGGAUGACCCAAACCAAUGUGAUUGUCUUCUUACCAAGCUGAAUAAUGCGACACACACCCAGCAUGAUACCUGUCUGCCUCAAUAGUUUCUCUUCCCAAGACGAGUUUGCAAUGCCACAUGUGUUGAGCGUGACAUCGGUGGGGGCUAUCAUCAUCUUGAAAUUCAGCCUUUAAGUGACUCAUUUUAUCUACCCUUGGUAUUAUCUACUUCCUUCCAUCUUGCCUCAUGGCUUGGAGAGGGACAUAAGGAUGAGUUCCCCUCAGACCGAUGAGUAUGAGGAAUUGUGCAUCCCGAGAACGAACAAUGAACUCCCCUGUUGGGAACCACUCGAACAUCCACUGCACUUGAUCUUCCUUUAGAUUUUCAAAUAGCUCUACCCAUCCUCCAGUGUCCUCCGGCUGAGCGAAUAUGUUGGGAAUGAAGUUCAUUCGCUUUGGGUGGUGGAAAGCGAUAUGAUCAUCCCAAUCCAUGCGUAUAAUCUCCUGUCAGUAGUCACCUUUCUGAAGGUGUUCUAUAAGCCAUAGUUGAAGUAAUAGAUUAUAACCUUAGAAGUGUGUGGCCCCUUGUUGACAUUUUCCCAAGGCUCGAUAGAUUUCAACGAUGAUCAUGGGCACUAUGCUGAAAGACUGCCCCUCGAUCCCUUCCAUUAAGGUCUUAGCUACCAUGGCUAGUCUAGUGUAGAUCCUAGCCUUCUUCAUAGUAAAGAUCAUCAUUCCCAGGAAACAUAAUAUGAAGACAAAAACACUUCUGUGAAUAUGCCCUAAGGAGGUUAGGGCGAACUCGUCGUUGUAGGUGAGGUAACACUUUCUAUGGCCAUAUCUCUCGUACAGAAAAUCAAACGGUAUGUAGAAAUCCUUCAGAAAAGUCAAAUCCAUAUUCUUCUUGAGUCCCAUCAUUUAAAGGAAACCCAUACCCUUGCGAUUCUCUGGCAUAAGUAGACCCGG